UAAGGGUACAUAGAAUGAAUUGAAAAGUUCGAUUUUGGGAACUUACCGGUUGAAGAACGAAGAACGACGAAGAACCAACGAAGAACGACAAAGAAUGGUUGAAAAUCUUCGCGAAAUCACUCACAGAAACGUCUUUGAAGCGUUACGGAAGCACCUCGGCUUGGAUUUUCUUCACGGAAACAAUUUUUCUCACUAAUUUUAAGUGAUUCUCAG
rnacentral:lncRNA from 1 species